rnacentral:rRNA from 1 species
UACGGGGGGGGCAAGCGUUGUUCGGAAUUACUGGGCGUAAAGGGCGCGUAGGCGGCCCGCUAAGUCAGACGUGAAAUCCCUCGGCUCAACCGGGGAACUGCGUCUGAUACUGGCAGGCUUGAAUCCGGGAGAGGGAUGUGGAAUUCCAGGUGUAGCGGUGAAAUGCGUAGAUAUCUGGAGGAACACCGGUGGCGAAGGCGGGUCUCUGGGCAGUAACUGACGCUGAGGAGCGAAAGCGUGGGGAGCGAACAGG